GACGUUAGCGGCGGACGGGUGAGUAACACGUGGAUAACCUACCUAUAAGACUGGGAUAACUUCGGGAAACCGGAGCUAAUACCGGAUAAUAUAUUGAACCGCAUGGUUCAAUAGUGAAAGACGGUUUUGCUGUCACUUAUAGAUGGAUCCGCGCCGCAUUAGCUAGUUGGUAGGGUAACGGCUUACCAAGGCGACGAUGCGUAGCCGACCUGAGAGGGUGAUCGGCCACACUGGAACUGAGACACGGUCCAGACUCCUACGGGAGGCAGCAGUAGGGAAUCUUCCGCAAUGGGCGAAAGCCUGACGGAGCAACGCCGCGUGAGUGAUGAAGGUCUUCGGAUCGUAAAACUCUGUUAUUAGGAAAGAACAAAUGUGUAAGUAACUAUGCACGUCUUGACGGUACCUAAUCAGAAAGCCACGGCUAACUACGUGCCAGCAGCCGCGGUAAUACGUAGGUGGCAAGCGUUAUCCGGAAUUAUUGGGCGUAAAGCGCGCGUAGGCGGUUUUUUAAGUCUGAUGUGAAAGCCCACGGCUCAACCGUGGAGGGUCAUUGGAAACUGGAAAACUUGAGUGCAGAAGAGGAAAGUGGAAUUCCAUGUGUAGCGGUGAAAUGCGCAGAGAUAUGGAGGAACACCAGUGGCGAAGGCGACUUUCUGGUCUGUAACUGACGCUGAUGUGCGAAAGCGUGGGGAUCAAACAGGAUUA
rnacentral:rRNA from 1 species